UGGGGAAUUUUGGACAAUGGGCGCAAGCCUGAUCCAGCAAUGCCGCGUGUGUGAAGAAGGCCUUCGGGUUGUAAAGCACUUUUGUCCGGAAAGAAAACCUCGUGGUUAAUACCCGUGGGGGAUGACGGUACCGGAAGAAUAAGCACCGGCUAACUACGUGCCAGCAGCCGCGGUAAUACGUAGGGUGCAAGCGUUAAUCGGAAUUACUGGGCGUAAAGCGUGCGCAGGCGGUUCGCUAAGACAGAUGUGAAAUCCCCGGGCUUAACCUGGGAACUGCAUUUGUGACUGGCGGGCUAGAGUAUGGCAGAGGGGGGUAGAAUUCCACGUGUAGCAGUGAAAUGCGUAGAGAUGUGGAGGAAUACCGAUGGCGAAGGCAGCCCCCUGGGCCAAUACUGACGCUCAUGCACGAAAGCGUGGGGAGCAAACAGGAUUAGAUACCCUGGUAGUCCACGCCCUAAACGAUGUCAACURGUUGUCGGGYCUUCAUUGACUUGGUAACGUAGCUAACGCGUGAAGUUGACCGCCUGGGGAGUACGGUCGCAAGAUUA
rnacentral:rRNA from 1 species